CCUACAUGAAGCUGGAGUUACUAGUAAUCGCAGAUCAGAAUGCUGCGGGGAAUGCGUUCCCGGGUCUUGUACACACCGCCCGUCACACCACGGGGGUUGGAGACGCCCGAAGCCGAUUAUCUAACCUGUUGGAAGAAGUCGUCGAAGGUGGAAUCAAUAACUGGGGUGAAGUCGUAACAAGGUAGCCGUAUCGGAAGGUGCGGCUGGAUCACCUCCUUU
rnacentral:rRNA from 1 species